rnacentral:rRNA from 1 species
GACGAACGCUGGCGGCGCGCCUAAUACAUGCAAGUCGAGCGGACCGAAGGGAGCUUGCUCCUUUAGGUUAGCGGCGGACGGGUGAGUAACACGUGGGCAACCUGCCCUGCAGACUGGGAUAACUUCGGGAAACUGGGAUUAAUACCGUAUGAUACUUCUACUUAGCAUUAAGAAGAAGUUAAAGCGUAAAGCGGUGAAAGAUGGUCUCGCGUCCCAUUAGUUAGUUGGUGAGGUAACGGCUCACCAAGACUUCGAUGGGUAGCCGGCCUGAGAGGGUGAACGGCCACACUGGAACUGAGACACGGUCCAG